rnacentral:rRNA from 1 species
GAUGAACGCUGGCGGCGUGCUUAACACAUGCAAGUCGAACGAAGCAUUUGCGACAGAUUCCUUCGGAUUGAAGUUGCUUAUGACUGAGUGGCGGACGGGUGAGUAACGCGUGGGUAACCUGCCUCAUACAGGGGGAUAGCAGCUGGAAACGGCUGGUAAUACCGCAUAAGCGCACAGUACCACAUGGUACAGUGUGAAAAACUCCGGUGGUAUGAGAUGGACCCGCGUCUGAUUAGCUAGUUGGCGAGGUAACGGCCCACCAAGGCGACGAUCAGUAGCCGACCUGAGAGGGUGACCGGCCACAUUGGGACUGAGACACGGCCCAGACUCCUACGGGAGGCAGCAGUGGGGAAUAUUGCACAAUGGAGGAAACUCUGAUGCAGCGACGCCGCGUGAGUGAAGAAGUAGUUCGCUAUGUAAAGCUCUAUCAGCAGGGAAGAUAGUGACGGUACCUGACUAAGAAGCUCCGGCUAAAUACGUGCCAGCCGCCGCUGUAA